rnacentral:rRNA from 1 species
CCUACGGGUGGCAGCAGUGAGGAAUAUUGGUCAAUGGGCGCGAGCCUGAACCAGCCAAGUCGCGUGAAUGAUGACUGCCCUACGGGUUGUAAACUUCUUUUGUAAGGGAAUAAAGUCAGGCACGUGUUCCUUUUUGUGUGUCCUUUAUGAAUAAGGCUCGGCUAACUCCGUUCCAGCAGCCGCGGUAAUACGGAGGAUCCGAGGGUUAUCCGGAUUUAUUGGGUUUAAAGGGAGCGUAGAUGGGUUUUUAAGUCAGUUGUGAAAGUUUGCGGCCCAACCGUAAAAUUGCAAUUGAUACUGGCAGCCUUGAGUGCAGGUGAGGUAGGCGGAAUGCGUGGUGUAGCGGUGAAAUGCUUAGAUAUCACGAAGAACUCCGAUUGCGAAGGCAGCUUACUAAACUGCCACUGACAUUGAUGCUCGAAAGCGUGGGGAUCAAACAGGAUUAGAUACCCGUGUAGUC